rnacentral:rRNA from 1 species
CGGCGAGCGAACCGGGAAGAGCUCAAAUUUGAAAUCUGGCGUCCUUCGGGCGUCCGAGUUGUAAUCUAUAGAGGCGUUUUCCGUGCCGGACCGUGUCCAAGUCCCUUGGAAUAGGGUAUCAAAGAGGGUGACAAUCCCGUACUUGACACGACCACCGGUGCUCUGUGAUACGUCUUCUACGAGUCGAGUUGUUUGGGAAUGCAGCUCAAAACGGGUGGUAAACUCCAUCUAAAGCUAAAUAUUGGUGGGAGACCGAUAGCGAACAAGUACCGUGAGGGAAAGAUGAAAAGCACUUUGGAAAGAGAGUUAAACAGUAUGUGAAAUUGUUGAAAGGGAAACGAUUGAAGUCAGUCGUGUCCAUCGGAUUCAGCCGGUUCUGCCGGUCUACUUCCUUUGGACGGGUCAACAUCGGUUCUGGACGGCGGAUAAUGGCGGGAGGAAAGUAGCACCCCUCGGGGUGUGUUAUAGCCUCCCGUCGCAUACGUCGACCGGGACCGAGGAACGCAGCUCGCCUUCAUGGCCGGGGUUCGCCCACGUACGAGCUUAGGAUGUUGACGUAAUGGCUUUAAACGACCC